CACUCUCUACUGACUGAGCCAGCCAGGCACCUCUGAACUCUUCUUACCAAGCGUUUCUUGCAUAUGGAGCUGGAGUUUUAAGUCUUUCAAGAAGCAGACACCAAGGAGUUGGAAGUGCAAGAGAUUUACUGGGGGAAAUUCCUGUGAAAGAUAAAAGGAGGAGUAGGAAGUCUCCAGACCAAGAUAUAGUCUAACACCUUAGAAAAGAGAGGGAAAGUAGAAUAAUUGUGUUGGAGGAGGUUGAAACUGCAAUGUAACUCUGAGAAAGCCUCAGCCAGGUGAAAAAAAGAGCUCUGGCACUUGGAGUAAAGAAGUGAUGUUAGAACAACAUGACCCUGGGAUUCUUCUAUAGAACAACUGCAAAAUAAGAUCAUUGCUUCAGCAACAAACAGAAGCUACUGAAAUAGCUGAAAUGUACAGAAUGCCUAGAAAAAUUGGCAGAUAUGAGCAAAGCAAAUCUGGAGGUUACAAAGCCUUGGAUAACAAAACAAGUAACAGAAAUUCUUGGGUUUGAAGAGGAUGUUGUGACUGAGUUUACAACCAAUUGGAAGUGAAGGACUGAACCAAAAUAGAAGUUACUCCUUGAAUUUAAGUAUGUAGUACCAUCACCUUAUUAGGUUACAGCAGAGUAAGCGUCCCAUUGUGCCUCUGACCCAACUCUUUUGGGUAUAUUUGGAGACUCCAGACUCCAGUAUUAUGAGAAUCAACCUGACUGGGUUUUUGAAUGGAAAAAAAAGUGCUGGAAAGUUAGUUUAUGGGAGAACUUUGGCUCCUCCUAUGCGACAUCACUGGAAUACAUUCUGCUUUCCCAGACCCGAAGGAGAAAUAAAGCAGAGGCAGAAUGAAAAGAAACAUUGGCAUUUAUGAAAAAGCAAGGUGAAAACAAAGAUAAAGAGCAGAAAGAAAGAAAAAGCAGCAGAGAGAGAGAAAGGAGAGAGUCUUCCUGAAGCCCAAGAAGACUCCAAUUCGUCUCUCUUUUCCCUAGAAGAUAAUCCUGCCCAGUGAGGAGAGAGAGAAAGCACAAUUAUGUUCAAUUUCCCCAUCAGAACCAUGAGCCAGAGUCCUUCCCCAGCCCCAGAAAAAGAAAAACCAGCAUUCCCAGAAUCUUCAAGAAAACUAAAAAGAACCUUCAGUACAAGUCACCACUUCAGUGACAUACUGAAAAUUCCCCAACCUGAAUCUGUACCAGAGCCUACGAACCUUUCCGGGGGGGGGGGGGGGGGGGGGGGGGGGGGAAGAAAAAGAGAUUUGACCAAGACACUAUUCUUCUCAUGCUUGACCUGGUUGGCUCACCUAGCAGCAAGCCAUCCCUAGGGAGGUCGCUAUCUCCUUGAACUCCAUCAAGGCUUAGAAGAGAGACAGAAAAAAGUACUCAUCAGCAUCCUUGUCUAGAAAUAGCUCAUUGUCUGCUUUGUCUGGUUGCCAAUCACAAAAAACAUCUGGCUCCCUCAAAAAAACUUGUAGGUUAUGUCCUUCACAUGCCCUCUGAGGAGAAGGCACCAAUAUCUCCAGCAACAACACCAAAAAUUCAUUUCCCAACCUCCCAGCAGCCAAGCUGUACCGACAAGCUCAUGUUUCUGUAUCUCUAAGGAGACCUUCAGGUAAAGGGACACAAUAUAAAGGUAAUGAGAAAAGAGCCCCUCUCGCCAGCCCCAAAACCUGGAAAAGAGUUCAUAAAGAGAACAUAAAGGUGGCAAAAUGGUUGCCACAGAUUCUGUGCAGCAGAGACACCAAACCAGAUGACAAAACCAGCAGUCUUCAUCUGACUCUGGAUCCUCCUUUUAGAUGAUGAUGAGCGACUCAAGGGGUCCCAUUUGAAAAAUGGUGUGGAUUCUCAGGCCUCUUUCUCACCACGAAAGCCAAAGGGCCAGGAAGAGGAUUCCCUUGUGGUAGGUGGAUUCCCUCCUCAUCACCAGUAGAGGAUGCCGUUUUCCUCCUCACUCCUCUUCAAGACGCUGGUCUUCCAAGGUCUUCCAUGAUGCUACUGAGGGAAGAGCCCCCUUCUCCUACCCCACAUCAGUGCUCAAUAUUCUCAAGACGGUCUCCUCCAAAACAGAUGAGAUGUGUGUUUCUUCUCCACCUCCUAAACAAGGGCAUCACCAUCUCCACCCAAAGGGUCUUUCAUUCUUCACCCCCCAAAGAAGUCGGCAACAGACUUCACCUGCAUUGCUAUCAAAGCAUGGAAAAGAGUCUUCCCUGAGCCUAUCUACCUAAAAAGAGCAUUUGAUCUCCCAGUGGCCUCCAGCUCCACAGACCUCAGAGUCUCCUGAGCCAGUAGCUAAAACCCCCAAGCACCUCCAUCCCCUGUCCAGUCUCAGUCACCCUCUAUAAACAGAUGUCACUAUAAACAUGUCACUAUAAACAUGUCACUGAUCAAAAAGACUGAAAGCCUGCCACCAAACCCAUUACUGCAAGGAAUCCCAAAGAAGGACAUAGAAAGAGAAAGAUGAAGAAAGAGAAGAAAGAAAGAAAGAGAAAGAAAGAAAAGAAAGAAAAGAAAAAAAAAGAAAAGAAAAGAAAAGAAAGAACAGGCCCCCCAAAAAAGAAACAUAAGAAGGAAGAGGCUGCUACAGCUGUUUUUAACUCCUGCCACAGUUGCUGUUCCUAUAGCCAUAUCAGCACAAGAAGAACCAGGGCUGAGCCAGAGACUAAUGAAGCUGAGGAUAACCUUCAUGACUUAAAAAGCACCUGUGGGGGGCUGAGAUCAAUAUGAAGGCUCGCAUGUCCCAGUCAUGGAUGGAAAUGUCUUGUUAUUAUGUAAAGUUUAUUUGUUCUGUAUGCAAUUUGAUAUUGAAAUUGCAAAAAUGUGUUUUAACUUUAGACUAUAACAUUUGUUGUAAUAAAUGCUAAAUUGAAGUUCCAAGGUAUUAAUACAGGGGCAGAGGGUCAUGAAUUUACACUAAAAACAGGGGAUGAACUUCUGAUACAUACUACAAGGUUGAUGAACCAUGAAAACCUUAUGCUGAGUGAAAGAAAUGGCCACACACAGUCUGAUUCCACUUCUAUGAAAUGUCCAGGAUAGGCAAGUCCACAGAGACAGAAAGGUUAGUGGUUUCCCGGGACUGGGGAGAGGGGAAAUAGGGAGUGACUACUAGAGGGAAUGGGGCUUUUGUUUGGGGUGAUGAAAAUGUUCUGGGGGAUCCCUGGGUGGCUCAGCGGUUUAGCAUGUGCCUUCGGCCCAGGGUGUGAUCCUGGAGUCCCGGGAUCGAGUCCCACAUCGGGCUUCCUGCAUGGAGCCUGCUUCACCCUACGCCUAUGUCUCUUCCUCUCUUUCUCUCUCUGUCUCUCAUGAAUAAAUAAAUAAAAUCUUUUAAAAAAAUGUUCUGGAAUUAGUGGUGAUAGCUGUGAAUAUGCUAAAAACACUGAAUUGUACACUUAAAAAUUAUAAAAGUAAUAAACUUCAAAAAAGUGUUUUGUGGGGGGAUCCCUGGAUGGCUCAGUGGUUUGGCGCCUGCCUUCGGCCCAGGGCAUGAUCCUGGAGUCCCGGGAUCAAAUCCCACAUCAGGCUGCAUGGAGCCUGCUUCUCCCUCUGCCUGUGUCUCUGCCUCUUUCUCUCUCUGUCUCUCAUGAAUAAAUAAAUAAAAUCUUUAAAAAAAAAAAAA
rnacentral:lncRNA from 1 species